ensembl:snRNA U1 U1 spliceosomal RNA
AUCCUUCCCUGAGAUCAUCCAAGAUCAUAAAGAUGGCUUUCUCAGGGCAAGGAUCAUCCAUCCAUUCCAUUGUGGGAAUGGUGGCUCCUAUGAUUUCCCCAAAUGUGGGAAAUUCAAUUCAUGUAAUUUGUGGUACUGGAGGACUGUGCUAGCAUUUCCG